AGAGUUUGAUCCUGGCUCAGAAUCAACGCUGGCGGCGUGCCUAACACAUGCAAGUCGAACGCGAAAGCCCCGCAAGGGGCAAGUAGAGUGGCAAACGGGUGAGUAACACGUGGGUGACCUGCCUUCGAGCGGGGGAUAACGUCCCGAAAGGGACGCUAAUACCGCAUAACAUCCUGCCUUUGAAGAGGCGGAGAUCAAAGCUGGGGAUCGCAAGACCCGGCACUUGAAGAGGGGCCCGCGUCUGAUUAGCUAGUUGGUGGGGUAACGGCCUACCAAGGCAACGAUCAGUAUCCGGCCUGAGAGGGCGGACGGACACACUGGGACUGAGACACGGCCCAGACUCCUACGGGAGGCAGCAGUGGGGAAUUGUUCGCAAUGGGCGCAAGCCUGACGACGCAACGCCGCGUGGAGGAUGAAGAUUUUCGGAUCGUAAACUCCUGUCGAAUGGGACGAACAGAUUGCGGGUUAACAGCCCGUGGUCCUGACGGUACCGUUAAAGGAAACCCCGGCUAACUCCGUGCCAGCAGCCGCGGUA
rnacentral:rRNA from 1 species